GCUGCGGUCUCGGGAGGCCGGGCGCUCGCGGGGUGGGGACCGCGGGCUCCGCGCGGCUGCGGCCUCCGGGAGCAGGCGGUGGGGACCGUGCUGGGCUGUGGAGGCAAAAGAAACCGCCUGUUUCCGCCCGGUUUCGAACCGGGGACCUCUCGCGUGUUAGGCGAGCGUGAUAACCACUACACUACGGAAACUCCUUGGGCGAGGCGCUUUUUCUUGCGUCCGAGCUCUGUGAAAUCUGGACAAAUUAAGUUUUCAGUCACCGCAUUCCCUUGUCUGCAAUAUGAGGACGAUCGUCACGUUGCAGGUUCGCUGUGAGAUUAAAUAACAGAACACAGGUCACGGCCUGGCCGAUAUUUCAGCUGCCACUAAAACGUGGCAAUGUUUUAUUCCAUAUACAAAAGCAAUGUCCAAUUCCAGCCCUGCUUUCUAAAAUCUCAUCUCAAUAACUCAAAAGGCAUUUAUUGUUUAUUCAUUUGCCACGCAAAAUGUGAACCCCUAAGGAUUCCCAGGUAAACCUUUAUCCUCAUUUCUCAAGGAACUAAUAUCUAGUCAGAGAGACCAAUCUAAACUCGUAAUUACAAUAAAACAGGAGAAGUGCUACCCCAGAAAUUAAGAAGAAAAUGUGUGAGCAGUGUGGAAGCCAAGCAAUGAACUCUGGAGGGGACGUUGGGGGAGGCUCUCCCUGACCAGAUCACAGCGAAGCUUAGUCUCGAAGGAGAAACAAAUUGGACCUUGUGAAGAAGGCAAUACAGGGCCAAGGUCUCAGGCUGUGCAAGAUUAAAAGUUGCAGAAGGUGCCUGGCAUACUUGAUGGAAGCAGUCUCAUGCGGGAGACCCAGUUUGGAUCGGCCCGGAGAAAGGAACUGGGGCGGCUGGAAAAGAGGCUGGAAAGGGAGAGAGCACAAGCAGAGGGAGAGGCA